rnacentral:rRNA from 1 species
GAUGAACGCUAGCGGCAGGCCUAAUACAUGCAAGUCGAGGGGCAACAGGUGUAGCAAUACAUGCUGGCGACCGGCGCACGGGUGCGUAACACGUAUGUAAUCUACCCUUUACUGGAAGAUAGCCCGGAGAAAUUCGGAUUAAUACUCCAUAACACUAUAACAUGGCAUCAUGAAGUAGUUAAAGAUUUAUCGGUAAAGGAAGAGCAUGCGGCUGAUUAGACAGUUGGUGAGGUUACGGCUCACCAAGGCAACGAUCAGUAGGGGACCUGAGAGGGUUAGCCCCCACACUGGUACUGAGAUACGGACCAGACUCCUACGGGAGGCAGCAGUAGGGAAUAUUGGGCAAUGGAGGCAACUCUGACCCAGCCAUGCCGCGUGCAGGAAGACGGCCUUCUGGGUUGUAAACUGCUUUUGAUCGGGAACAAAGAGCCCUUGCGAGGGAAGUUGAGUGUACCGAUAGAACAAGCACCGGCUAACUACGUGCCAGCCGCCGCGGUAA